UACGUAGGGUCCGAGCGUUGUCCGGAUUUAUUGGGCGUAAAGAGCUCGUAGGCGGUUCCGUAAGUCAGAUGUGAAAACUCAGGGCUCAACCCGGAGACGCCAUCUGAUACUGCGGUGACUGGAGUCUGGUAGGGGAACACGGAAUUCCUGGUGUAGCGGUGAAAUGCGCAGAUAUCAGGAGGAACACCGGUGGCGAAGGCGGGUCUCUGGGCCGAUACUGACGCUGAGGAGCGAAAGCGUGGGGAGCGAACAGG
rnacentral:rRNA from 1 species